CUCGAACGUCACCACCAGGCAACCGACAACCCGUGCCGUAAUCAACAUUAACCAUUCAUGCAACUACACACGGCAAGCGGGUGUUUUAUUUCUGUUGUGUGGAACAGAAGUGAAAGGAAUGUGUGGUUAGGGUUGCCUAUAGUGCUGCUAACGUGCAAAACCUCAAAAUAACUUUUAAAUCGUUAAAAACUUACAAAAAACUAAUAAAAUUAAGAAUUGGUGAGUAUGAAUGUGCUUUUUAAGGUUAUGUCGGUUGACAGCUGAUGAUUUCAAAUCAUCUUCGGUAUUUUCUUGGUUUAAAUACAUUAAUAGAUGGCGUAAGAGUGCAAAGAUAAAACACUUCCCUGGACGUAAACAUAAACACUGAUCUUGUAUCUUCUGUGUUGAAUGCAAAAUUCCUGUUUCUACUCAGAGCUGCGCCGUGUGGCAACAUAAUUAUACACAAAGCUCCAUUUGGCUGAUGUAGCGCGCAUUGACGGCUCCAGGUCGAAAGGGUGGAAGGCGACCUGGAACUUCUGCGUGGCGGCGCCGCUCUUCCGGUUACUGUCAUACAUCAAGCCGCUUAUUAAGUGCCACUGCGUGUGAGCCCAAUUAAUCUAAGCGACCCGCAUGCCUAAUUGCUGUCAUAAUAACAACCAACAAGCAAAGAUUAUGCAAAAUGUAUUAUUCUGAUUGAGUUUAAUAUUCUUAGUAUUUGUAUACUUAAUACACUUAGUAUAUAAAUGGUAUUCUAUUCCUUUGGUGAGUGAGUAUAAAACGUUCUCUAUUUUUGAAGUAGAAUUAGUUUUGUACGUUUAUGGAGUAGUAAACUAAGCAAUGCACUUAUCCAACCUACGUGACAUUGACGUGUCAACGCUGCGUCAAAGCCAUCAAAGUCAAGGUAUAUUUGAGGAAAAAAUCGUAAAGUCAUCAAUGUAAAGUUUGCGUUUGGUGCACGGAGGAAUGAAGUGGGUUGUAAAAGCAGAAGGAAAUUAGAAAUUGUAAAGAAUGUGCUAAAAAUAAAAUGCUUGUCCUAGGUU